UACGUAGGGGGCAAGCGUUGUCCGGAAUCAUUGGGCGUAAAGCGCGUGUAGGCGGCCCGAAAAGUCUGGUGUGAAAACUUAGGGCUCAACCCUAAGCCUGCAUUGGAUACUGUCGGGCUCGAGUCUGGAAGAGGAGAGUGGAAUUCCUGGUGUAGCGGUGGAAUGCGCAGAUAUCAGGAAGAACACCGAUGGCGAAGGCAGUUCUCUGGGCCGUAACUGACGCUGAGGAGCGAAAGCGUGGGGAGCGAACAGG
rnacentral:rRNA from 1 species